AUAUCAGUCAUGCAUAGCAUAUCAAUAAGCGGAGGAAAAGAAACUAACAAGGAUUCCCUUAGUAACGGCGAGUGAAGCGGGAAGAGCUCAAAUUUGAAAUCUUCAAGGUUUUACCUUGACGAAUUGUAGUUUAAAGAAGUGUUUUCUGUUGAAGUUUUGGUAAAAGUUCUUUGGAAUAGGACAUCAUAGAGGGUGAGAAUCCCGUAUUUGACCAUUACUUUCCAGCUUUGUGAUACACUUUCAAAGAGUCGGAUUGUUUGGGAAUGCAGUCCAAAAUGGGUGGUAAAUUUCAUCUAAAGCUAAAUAUUGGCGAGAGACCGAUAGCGAACAAGUACCGUGAGGGAAAGAUGAAAAGAACUUUGAAAAGAGAGUUAAACAGUACGUGAAAUUGUCAAAAGGGAAGCGUUUGACACCAGUGUUGUUUUCUCGAAAAUCAAUUAAAAAGAGUUGGAUUUUGUGUUGUAUUGACUUUAUCAGCUUUCUUCACUCUUUUCCAGCUUUUUUUAAUGCACUUUUCGUUUAACAAGUCAACAUCAGUUUCUUUUGUUGUAAAAAGGUCAUUGGAAGGUGGCUUUCUCUUCGGAGAAAGUGUUUAUAGCCUUUGACUCAUGCAAUCGGAGAGACUGAGGUCUGCAGCGUAGAUCCUUCGGGGUUAGAUACAUUUGUGCUAAGUUAUAGCUUUUCAUAGACAACUUGUUGACUAUGUUUAGUCUUGUAGCUUACUCGCUUAUGCUAUUUUACCUACGCUUAGGAUGUUGAACUCUAUCACACACAG
rnacentral:rRNA from 1 species